GCGGCACCGCUUCGAUGCGUUGGUUCGGGAGUCUGCUAGAUCGGUGCCGCUUUCCUCGUGGUUUCUGGAGAUCUUGCCGCUUACGGAGCCUAUAAACAGAUGGCUUUCUUUUUCGUGAUGUUGCCUGGGGCUUUCGUUGGUGUCUCUUACGUGGGUAUUAGUUCGAUGGUUUCUUUUUCGUCCAGUCGUAAUGGACCGCGUCGUUCUGGACGGCCUUCUGGUUCGCGGGGGGCUACUGUUGGUCGGCGCGGUGGCUCGGCAGGUGGUGCUGCUCCUGCUGUUUUGCCGGAUCGGUCUGCUUCAUCUUGUCAUUCUCGCCCGUCUUCUCAGGUUGGUCACUUGGGGCGGGGUUCGACUUCUCCGCGGGUUGGUCGCUCUGGGCGGGGUUCGAUUUCUUCCCAUGUUUGUUUUGUGCGAUCUCCUGCUUCGGUGGAUCUUGCGGCGCAAUCUGGUGGUGAUGUUUCUGCUGGACGACGCAGGGAGGAGAUCCGGUUGGGCAAGCGUCCUGGCAUCGUCUCCACGGCCCUUUCUCGAUCUCCAAUUCUCCAUCGAAGUUGUGCUUUCUGUCCUUUUUCACGCACCACGAUCAAGCCAUGCGGGGAGCGCAACCGUCGAAGGCGAGCAGGUGAGGUUGAUCUUGACGGCGUCCUACUGCUCGCCGGCAAGACCGUCCCAUGGGGAGCGCCGCCUGUCUCUCCUCAGGCACGCAGCCUAUCCACUCCAGCGCCGGUUCCUCGUGCCUUUGGCGUCAUCGGGGCAUCACCGCCUCUCCCUAUGCCUCUUGGUAUGUGGGACACGCUGUGUCCCUCGCCUUGCACCUCUGGACGUCGCCCUGUUCUAUCUGCCUUUCUUCUUAGAUCAUUCAUGUGCAGCAUCAGGAGGGGCGGUGGUACGGUUUGGCUUUGGAAGCUGGCCAUCAAAUCCUGUUGUACAGUGUUGCUGAGAUGCAACACAAAAAUUUGAGUGGCGGUCUCAUGGUGGCCGUAGGGCCUCGACCUGCUCUUCGAUCCUUUUCUCUUUUCUUUCCUCCGAGAUGGAAUUGUGCUCCGUUCGCCACAUCCCCGAGCAUGCACCGCCAUGGUCGGAUCCUAGCGGCCUGCGGCCUUCCUUGGCGACAGGUGUCACGGUCCAUGGCGUUGGUGGAGGAGACGAUCGACACGGCGGGCAGCUACAACACGAAAUCCUGUAUGUUGAGAGCCUGGCCGUGAGCACACGAGCGGAGGGACGACAACACAGCGGAGCUGUUGAAGCUCCAGCAGUUCGGCUUCUCCCUGUCCGCACAAGAGAAGCAGGUCAUAUUCCGGGCUACGGCAUGAAUCCGUACAUGGUCAUUACUCACUCCUACGGCCUUCAGGGAGCAGCUGGCUACUGGGUGCAACCGAUGGGAGAUGGCAGCAUGGGUUUUUUUCAACCGGUUUGGAUGGCGAUCACUGCAUAGGAUAGGUCCUUAGUGGAUCCUCGUCCAGCCGGAUGCGGCUUUGAGACUUGUACUCUUUAUUUUUUUUUCCUUUGCUCCUUUUGUGAGCAGUACUUUGCAGAUCAGACUUUGCUACUGUCGGAUUUUUAAUAAAGUGGCCGCAUGCAUCUUUCCGACGCAGAGGCUGGAGGAUGACCUCCUUUUCCAAAAAAAAAAAGUUAUUUCUACUAGAUACAUGUUACUACUCAAAUUCUUCGUAUUUCGCUUGGGAUCUCGAUGGGCCUAAUAAUCUUCUCUGAAUUUAAUCAUGCUACAGGACCGAAGGGAGAUGAUCAGAGCGCGGCUCUGGACAGUUACCCACCAAGAAAGUUAGACGGUCCGACUGCAUAGUAUACAAAGAUCAUUGAUUCUCAUAGUCACUUACCCACCAAGAAAGCUACAUGAUAGUUUAUUUAGUAACAGGUUUGUAAUGCUUCUUGUGUUUCUAGGUCUGUACAGCACUGACAACAGCCCUCGGAAAUGAUGAACACGGAGGACGUGUACGAGGCAAAGGCAGAAUUCCGUGAAAAGUAGGGUUUUCCCAGGACAAUGACCCGUACUGUUACAGAAGCCGUAAGAGAAAGACGGACCGGGAUGCAGAUCUUUUGGCGAAGUUUGCAUCGGAACUCCAUGAGUUGAAGCAGACUGUGCAUGAACU